UUGAUCCUGCCGGACCCGACUGCUAUCAGAGUGGGACUAAGCCAUGCGAGCCAACGUAGAAAUACGUGGCAAACGGCUCAGUAACACGUAGUCAACAUGCCCAGGGGACGUGGAUAACCUCGGGAAACUGAGGAUAAACCGCGAUAGGCCAUGAUUUCUGGAAUGGUUCAUGGCCGAAAUCUAUAUGGCCCCUGGAUUGGACUGCGGCCGAUCAGGCUGUUGGUGAGGUAAUGGCCCACCAAACCUGUAACCGGUACGGGCUCUGAGAGGAGGAGCCCGGAGAUGGGCACUGAGACAAGGGCCCAGGCCCUAUGGGGCGCAGCAGGCGCGAAACCUCUGCAAUAGGCGAAAGCUUGACAGGGUUACUCUGAGUGAUUUCCGUUAAGGAGAUCUUUUGGCACCUCUAAAAAUGGUGCAGAAUAAGGGGUGGGCAAGCCUGGUGUCAGCCGCCGCGGUAAUACCAGCACCCCGAGUGGUCGGGACGAUUAUUGGGCCUAAAGCAUCCGUAGCCGGUUCUACAAGUCUUCCGUUAAAUCCACCUGCUUAACAGAUGGGCUGCGGAGGAUACUAUUGAGCUAGGAGGCGGGAGAGGCAAGCGGUACUUAGUGGGUAGGGGUAAAAUCCGUUGAUCCAUUGAAGACCACCAGUGGCGAAGGCGGCUUGCCAGAACGCACUCGACGGUGAGGGAUGAAAGCUGGGGGAGCAAACCGGAUUAGAUACC
rnacentral:rRNA from 1 species